rnacentral:rRNA from 1 species
CCUACGGGAGGCAGCAGUGCGGAAUAUUGGUCAAUGGGCGCGAGCCUGAACCAGCCAAGUCGCGUGAGGGAUGACGGCCCUACGGGUUGUAAACCUCUUUUGCCGGGGAGCAACGGGCGCCACGUGUGGCGCCACUGAGAGUACCCGGAGAAAAAGCAUCGACUAACCCCGUGCCAGCAGCCGCGGUAAUACGGAGGAUGCGAGGGUUAUCCGGAUUUAUGGGGUUAAAAGGGUGCUUCGGCGAAUCGUUAAGUCAGUGGUCAAAUUGAGGGGCUCAACCCCUUCCCGCCAUGGAAACUGGCGCUCUUGAGUGGAAGGGAAGUAUGCGGAAGGCGUGGUGUAGCGGUGAAAUGCAUAGAUAGCACGCAGAACCCCGAUUGCGAAGGCAGCAUGCCGGCUUCCGACUGACGCUGAAGCACGAAAGCGUGGGGAUCGAACAGGAUUAGAUACCCUUGUAGUC